CAGAAGUCCAAAACCAGGGUGUCCACAGGGCUAUGCUCCCUCUGAAGUCUCUAGGUAAGGAUCUGUUCCAGGGUCCUCUCCUUUGGGUAGUUCUCUGGCUUGUAGUAAUAUCACUCUAGUCUUCUCCUUGUGUGACUACCUAUAUCCAAACCCCACAUUCUUAUAAAGACACCAGGCCUGUGGGAUUAGGAACUCACCUCACUCCAGCAUGACCCCAUUUCAAUAACCUAAUUACCUCUGCAACAGACUUCUUUUUAAUAAGGCCACAUUCUGAGGUGCCAGGCAUUAGGACUUCAACAUAGGAAUUUGAGGGGACAUAAUUCUACUCGUAUCAGUGUGUUAAUACUGUGCUUGUGUAUGUGUGUGUGUUUUUGUGUGUAAUUGGGUAUUCCAAUUCCAGUAGUCAAAGGCAAAUCAGCAGAAUCAUACAUUCCUCUCCCCUAAAACCAGAAGAAUUUCAUAUAGUGGUUUAUACUUGGACAAAAAAGUUAUUUUUCCCGUGUAGAACAAGUUAAACAAAAAUAUAGCUCGUAUAUUUGUCAUUUUCCGCUUCACCCUACUAAAAUUAGUCAUGUCUUCUCUUCAUUCCAUCAUGAAGAUAUUUAUCCGUUGACCACCAAAUGCAUUCAAGUCCCCACAAAGAGGAGAAAAUAGUAAUGGAGCAUCAGACAUCACCACUCCUGAAAGCAACCUUCUACAAGAAUUGAAAAGUGCUGUGGGACCUAAUACUGAAACAGGAAAUAUGGACUGUCUUCAAAUUGCACAAAUGAUGCAUGAAUCCACAUUUGAGCCCCGCAGCUCCGAGAUGCCUAAUGUGAAUGAUUAAAGGUAUUUUACAAACUGGGGAGCUCUUCCAAGUGCUUUCCACUUUCAACCUUCUCUGAGACCCCAAUUCAUAAUGGUGAGCAUAAAACAUGCAUACUUGGAAUUUUUAUGGGUCCCAUAUAUACAUUCCAGACUGCACAUGAAUGUCUUAAUCUUUGGUUCUGAUAUUUAUGGCAAAGUCGAAAUGUUAUAUGAACAUUAACCUUAGUUUACUCAAACUAUAUCAAUAUGCCCAAACCAUCCUUUUUUCUGUCCCCACAAGUGUUUCUAAAAGAGAAGCAAAAAGCUGGUAUACUUCUUGGAUGCCUAAGGAUUUAAGAUUUCCUACUCUGGUGAAUAGAAAAAGUAUAAACCAAGGAAUGCAAUGUUGUUGCCCUAGGAACUAGUACUUACAGACUAUCAAAGACUAAAACCACCACAAAAAGGCUCAAUGCCUGAUAAUCACCAUUUCUGUCUCCUAUGUGCCAAAAUAUAUCAAAACCAUAUGAUUUCCUAAGAAAAAAAUCCCAAGAUUUCCCCCAGUUGGUUUUAACACCAGUUGUUUUGCACUUAACAUUUCAAAAUGCAGCCUUAUUUUCUCCAGGUAAUAAUUUUAUGUGCAGAUACAUCAAAGCUGAAAGGAUGAUCAAACCCUGCUUGUGGGUGUCAGAAAUAAUGCAUCCCCACUUCAUUCACAAUAAUGAAUGCUCAAUGAUUUUUUAUAUCACUGAAGAAUUUAGCAUCUUUGGAACUCAACAAUAUUCUCCAUCUCCCAGAAGCUGAUAACAUCCCCUCCCCACCAAGAUACUCUGCCUCCCUACUGCUCACUGCUUUGUGCCAUCAACAUGGUUAAGCAUGUGUGUGUUAUUGCACUAUGAAGUAGCUGAAGAUCUCAGAACAGAGAGCCACACUCUUUUUGUGCAAAUGAAUGGCCAAACCAACAGACAAGUAAUCGUUUUUUUAGAAUGCAGGGUCUAGCCGCCUAACUUAUCUUUAUAACCACAUCACAUCCAAUGAGUUGGGAAUGCUUAACGAGAAAGCUCACGUACUUCACACAGAAGAAAACACACUUUAAGUCAUCAAGUUGUGUCAAGAAUAAAAGGAAAUUUCCACGGCAGUGAUAAACAACGUUCUUGUUUCAGUUGUUUUUCCUCUAAGUAAUGGGGGAUCUUAACAUCUUCCGACAUUUUCUGGUUCUGAAAGGAAGAUUGGAAACAAAUGUCAUUGUGGGGACAAAAAAAAAAAGUCUAUUAAACAAAGAAAAAGAAAACCAAGAUCCAACUGUAUGUUGUUACAAUAGACUCUUGCUCUAUAUUUAGCAGAAGGAAGAUUAGACAGAAAAAAAUGAAGCAGAAAUGAAGUUGCACAUCUUAAAUAUAUACAAUGUUUAUUAUGCUUUAAAAAAAUCUAGAAUGAAAAAUCCAUUAAAAAAAAGAAAACCAAGAUCCAGCUGUGUGCUGUCUAUAUGACACUUGCCUUACUUUCAGCAGGAAAUAGAACAGAACAAAUAAAUUAUGCAGAAAUGAAGUUGUGCAUCUUAAAUAUAUACAAUGUUUAUUUGUCAACUAUACCUUAAUAAAGCUGGAAAAAUUAAAAAUAGAAAAUAUUUGGGCCAGGCGUGGUGGCUCACACCUGUAGUCUCAGCACUUUGGGAGGCUGAGGCAGGCAGAUCACGAGGUCAGGAGAUCGAGACCAUCCUGGCUAACACGGCGAAAACCCAUCUCUACUAAAAAUACAAAAAACCAGCCAGGCGUGGUGGUGGGUGUCUGUAGUCCCAGCUACAUGGGAGAUUGAGGCAGGAGAAUGGCGUAAACCUGGGAGGUGGAGCUGGCAGUGAGCCGAGAUCCAGCCACUGCACUCCAGCCUGGGCAACAGAGCAAGACUCCGUCUCAAAAAAAAAAAAAAAAAAAAAAAAAAGAAAAUAUUUAAAAACUCUUAAAAUCGUAUCUGGAAAUAAAUAUCAGUUUUCAAAACAUUGUUUUUUUACGUUUUGCCAUUUGUUAAGGAUUUUGACGAUCUUAAAUGAAUUGAGUAACUUUCUUUUUGGUUAAAACUAAUAUUUGUAGGAACUUCUUUUUUUUAAUAUGGCCUUGUUGGUCUUUAUAACUUCUGAAGUGGUGUUGUCAUUUUCUCCACUUUACAAAAUAAAAGCAAAGUAUGAUUCUUAAAAGUC